rnacentral:rRNA from 1 species
CGAAAGCCUGACGGAGCAACGCCGCGUGAGGGAUGAAGGCCUCUGGGCUGUAAACCUCUUUUAUCAAGGAAGAAGAUCUGACGGUACUUGAUGAAUAAGCCACGGCUAAUUCCGUGCCAGCAGCCGCGGUAAUAUGGGAGUGGCAAGCGUUAUCCGGAAUUAUUGGGCGUAAAGCGUCCGCAGGCGGCCUUGAAAGUCUGUCGUUAAAGCGUGGAGCUUAACUCCAUUUAAGCGAUGGAAACUACAAGGCUAGAGUGUGGUAGGGGCAGAGGGAAUUCCCGGUGUAGCGGUGAAAUGCGUAGAUAUCGGGAAGAACACCAGUGGCGAAGGCGCUCUGCUGGGCCAUAACUGACGCUCAUGGACGAAAGCCAGGGGAGCG